rnacentral:rRNA from 1 species
GGGGGGGGGGGGGGGGGGGGGGGGGGGGGGGGGGGCGGGGGGGCGGGCGGGGGGCUGGGUUUUCUGGGGGUAGCGGCGGGCGGGGGAGUAACACGGGGGGAACCUACCUAUGAGACUGGGCUAACUUCGGGCAACCGGCGCUAAUACCCGCUAAUCUUUUUAACCGCAUGGUUCACACGUGAAAUACGUGCUUGCUGUCACUUAUAGGUGGAUCCGCGCUGCAUUAGCUAGUUGGUAAGUUAACGGCUUACACAGGCAACGAUGCAGAGCCGACCUGAGCGGGGGACCGGCCACAAUGGAACUGAGACAAGGUCCAGACUCCUACGGGAGGCAGCAGUAGGGAAUCUUCCGCAAUGGGCGAAAGCCUGACGGAGCAACGCCGCGUGAGUGAUGAAGGUCUUCGGAUCGUAAAACUCUGUUAUUAGGGAAGAACAUAUGUGUAAGUAACUGUGCACAUCUUGACGGUACCUAAUCAGAAAGCCACGGCUAACUACGUG